UACGAAGGGGGCUAGCGUUGCUCGGAAUUACUGGGCGUAAAGCGCACGUAGGCGGAUUGUUAAGUCGGGGGUGAAAUCCUGGAGCUCAACUCCAGAACUGCCUUCGAUACUGGCGAUCUCGAGUCCGGGAGAGGUGAGUGGAACUGCGAGUGUAGAGGUGAAAUUCGUAGAUAUUCGCAAGAACACCAUUGGCGAAGGCGGCUCACUGGCCCGGUACUGACGCUGAGGUGCGAAAGCGUGGGGAGCAAACAGG
rnacentral:rRNA from 1 species